rnacentral:lncRNA from 1 species
UUGGAACUCCUGGCUUGAAAAUGAAUGUUUUUCCACUCAUAGAUUUCAGUCAGUGGAUCCACUUACAGAUCAAGGGAAAAGAAUCUCACAGAAUACAUGGAAAAUCAAGUAAGUUAUAGAAGUAAAAGGCAAAUGCAGCUGGAGACAGACUUCCUUUAGACAGAUGUUCUACUUCUGAAGAAAAAAUAAAAUAAGGAGUUGGAGGAAGAAACAAAAGAAAAAAGUAACAAUAUAGAAAACAAUUUAGAUCAUGGUCUGUUCUUCUGUAUUGCAAAUUCUAAACUUUCCACAAGUUACCUCAGGCCAUUUGCUUCAUUACAGUGUCAAGGUAAGAGUCCAGGCUUUUUAAGUAACAGUGUCAGCACUAAAUGCACUGAUUUUUCUCAGCAGCCUGGUUGUUAGCUACCCCAAUAGUUAAUGUCUAAUGGUUAUAGAAAUCACCCUUUGUUCAAUGACGUAAUUCCCCCAAAUCCUUAACCAAGCCCACUACUGAAAAAUAAAAGUAUUAUGCUUGUUUCA